UACGAAGGGGGCUAGCGUUGUUCGGAUUUACUGGGCGUAAAGCGCACGUAGGCGGAUCGUUAAGUCGGGGGUGAAAUCCUGGAGCUCAACUCCAGAACUGCCUUCGAUACUGGCGAUCUUGAGUCCGGAAGAGGUGAGUGGAACUCCUAGUGUAGAGGUGGAAUUCGUAGAUAUUCGGAAGAACACCAGUGGCGAAGGCGGCUCACUGGCCCGGUACUGACGCUGAGGUGCGAAAGCGUGGGGAGCAAACAGGG
rnacentral:rRNA from 1 species